GCCCUCUGACCCCUUAGCCAUCAGGUCUAAACAUUGGUCUGAGGGUCUAUAGAAGAGGCAAAGUAAAACUGAAACUGACUUUGGUUCUUUUAUGAACUAGAAGCACUUUCAAAGACAA
rnacentral:snoRNA from 1 species